CAAAGUAUUAUGAAAUUAUAGGUAAAUUAAUCUCCCUCUAAUACUACCUCAAAUAGAUCUUGCGAGCGAUGGGGUUGCAAUCCUUGCACAUCGGGAUUUGUUCAUUACCCUGGUUCAGUUGUGGGAAGGGCGAGAUUGAGUAAAAUGCCUUCAUGACGUAUUCUGCGCGUAUAUUCUGUAUGUAUACAUGCGCAUGCACCGCCUAAAAGCCACGCUUUGAGGCCUAUUCUUUAAUGGAAGCGAAGAGGGGUAAAAAAGGCGAAAAAGGUUUUUUUUUUAAAAAAAAACAUGGGGAUAGGGCGCGCGGGCCAAAGAAAAAACCAUAAAUAUAUCUCUCCUAUGACAAAUAUAGAUGGGCAUAGAUCUCGCAUGAACAGCUAUAGCGCGGAUGCACACAAUUACAGCCAUUACAUUGAGCCUUAGGGAACCUUGAGAAUCAGAGAAAAACAAAAUCCAUGCACCGUUCCUGAGCUACCAAAUACGCAUCAACUACUAGACCGCCUCAGUGCGGUUUGCCCAGCCUAUGCUUUGAAGGGCCCCUUGUUGAAUUCUUUCCCGUUUGCCUGCUUCCUUUAUGGAUAAAUAGUUGCAU
rnacentral:sRNA from 1 species